ACUCCUACGGGGAGGCAGCAGUGGGGGAAUAUUGCACAAUGGGGGGAAACCCCUGAUGCAGCCAUGCCGCGUGUGUGAAGAAGGCCUUCGGGCUGUAAAGCACUUUCAGUAGGGAGGAAGGUAGUGUAGUUAACACCUGCACUAUUUGUACGUUACCUACAGAAGAAGCACCGGCUAACUCCGUGCCAGCAGCCGCGGUAAGUACGGAGGGUGCGAGCGUUAAUCGGUAAUUACGUGGGCGUAAAGCGCAUGCAGGCGGUCCUGUUAAGUCAGAUGUGAAACGGCCCGGGGUCUUAACCGUUCGGAAUUGCUAUUUGAAACUGGCAGGCUAGAGUCGUUGUAGAGGGGGUUAGAAUUUCGAGGUGUAGCGGUG
rnacentral:rRNA from 1 species